CGGAGGGAAACCGAGUCUUAACCGGGCGUUAAGUUGCAGGGUAUAGACCCGAAACCCGGUGAUCUAGCCAUGGGCAGGUUGAAGGUUGGGUAACACUAACUGGAGGACCGAACCGACUAAUGUUGAAAAAUUAGCGGAUGACCUGUGGCUGGGGGUGAAAGGCCAAUCAAACCGGGAGAUAGCUGGUUCUCCCCGAAAGCUAUUUAGGUAGCGCCUCGUGAAUUCAUCUCCGGGGGUAGAGCACUGUUUCGGCUAGGGGGCCAUCCCGGCUUACCAACCCGAUGCAAACUGCGAAUACCGGAGAAUGUUAUCACGGGAGACACACGGCGGGUGCUAACGUCCGUCGUGAAGAGGGAAACAACCCAGACCGCCAGCUAAGGUCCCAAAGUCAUGGUUAAGUGGGAAACGAUGUGGGAAGGCCCAGACAGCCAGGAUGUUGGCUUAGAAGCAGCCAUCAUUUAAAGAAAGCGUAAUAGCUCACUGGUCGAGUCGGCCUGCGCGGAAGAUGUAACGGGGCUAAACCAUGCACCGAAGCUGCGGCAGCGAACGUAUCACUUAAAGCGAUUCAGCGGGUUACGAUUGACGGAGCGAAGCGACGUCAAAGCGUAUACAAAGUCGAGUCGGUUUAAGGAUACGUU
rnacentral:rRNA from 1 species